rnacentral:rRNA from 1 species
GUGGGGAAUAUUGGGCAAUGGGGGCAACCCUGACCCAGCGACGCCGCGUGAGGGAAGAAGGCCUUAGGGUCGUAAACCUCUGUUGUGUGGGAAGAAGGAAGUGACGGUACCACACGAGGAAGUCCCGGCUAACUACGUGCCAGCAGCCGCGGUAAUACGUAGGGGACGAGCGUUGUCCGGAAUUACUGGGCGUAAAGGGCGCGUAGGCGGUCAUUUAAGUCAGCUGUGAAAUGGUCCGGCUCAACCGGAUCAUGCGGUUGAAACUGGAUGACUGGAGUGCUGGAGAGGCAAGUGGAAUUCCCAGUGUAGCGGUGAAAUGCGUAGAUAUUGGGAAGAACACCGGUGGCGAAGGCGACUUGCUGGCCAGCAACUGACGCUGAGGCGCGAAAGCCAGGGGAGCAAACGGGAUUAGAAACCCCAGUAGUCC